GGUGGCUCAGUGGUUGAGUGCUUGCCUCUUAUGCAUGAGGCCCUGGGUUUGAUUCCUCAGCACCA
rnacentral:tRNA from 1 species